rnacentral:lncRNA from 1 species
CCUGAAUGAAUUUCCCGCCACAGAGACCUCUUCGCCGAACAUUAGAGAUCGCACGUGGAGGGGGAAAAGGUAUCUGAAACGAAGAAGUGGACGAUAACUCGACCGUUCCCCGGAAAUAUGGCUAUGAUCUAACAUUAAUUACAACGGCAGCUUAGGGAAAACCCCAUGCGAGGCCCGUCGGCGCUUAAGCAUUAUGGGAAAUGUAGUUUGAUGGUUUCGACCUGGUUGUAGUUUAAGAGGAGGCUAGCGGGAGGCGGAGCGAGCCGCAAAGCGGGUACUCAGGCCGCGGGGAUGGGGUGGCAAGAGGAAUUAGGAAGUCGUGGCGAGAUGGGAAGAGCAGUGCAGAACUCUCCGUGUUUCUAAACCAAUCUGCUCUUCCAUUUAGCUCGGCUGGCAUGUGGAGAGGCUAAUACUGCUUACCGGCCCCCGCUGUGAGGACCUGGAAGAUUACCCACGGUAACAGCGCUAUUAUCCGGUGAAGAUAAGAAGUGAUGAGAAAGACCAAAAGCUACCUUACUGUCACUUAAUUUCUUGGAAUACGGAUCUUUUGGUUAAACAAGCUAUGAUACAGCUUUUAAGUAGCACUAAAUGAAUGAGUCACUUUUUCCUGGGAUCUUGGAGGACUGAAGUUACAGAUCAAAUAUGACUGCUCCCUGUUUAAACCAAAGGUCACUGCUGUAAGAGCUUUAAAAGGAACCUCAGAGUCCCAGAGUCAAAGGGUAAACACAAGAGCCUGAACACCUUGUGCAAGAGGAUCCUGGGGUCCAACUCCUGCAGAAGAGAAGAGAGCAAGGUUGGCAAGAUUGGUCGAGCUUUGUGCAGGUUCAAUGACAUCUUGGCCAGUGCCCUUCAAAAUUGCCCUGAAUUAGACAAGAUGGUCGGGGUUCACCAAGGUGUGAACAGCCCUGGGAAAGGUAUGAUCAUAGGGUAGGUUGAGGCACCCGCCUGUGUUCAGGAAAUUCCUGAAAAGGUUGUGGGGAGCUGGAGGCAGCUGAAGACUACCAACAGCACUCCCUGUUGGGAGGGCAGCAUGUCUUUCAC